rnacentral:tRNA from 1 species
GCCUUCGUGCUGUAACGGUAGCACACUCGACUCGUAUUCGAGAGGGCCAGGUUCGAAUUCCGGAGAGAGCA